rnacentral:rRNA from 1 species
AGGACGAACGCUGGCGGCGUGGAUUAGGCAUGCAAGUUGAGCGACAGACAAGGGCUUGCCUUUGUUAUGGAGCAGCGAACGGGUGAGUAACACGUGAACAACCUGUCCCCACAUUCCGGAUAAUUGGAAGAAAUUCCUUGUAAUACGGGCGAGGAUCAGUGCAAGGCAUCUUAUGCUGAGGGAACAUGCAAAUGGUGCGGGGAGGGGUUCGCGGCCUAUCAGGUAGUUGGUGUGGUAACGGCACACCAAGCCGACGACGGGUAGCUGGU